UACGAAGGGGGCUAGCGUUGCUCGGAAUCACUGGGCGUAAAGGGUGCGUAGGCGGGUCUUUAAGUCAGGGGUGAAAUCCUGGAGCUCAACUCCAGAACUGCCUUUGAUACUGAAGAUCUUGAGUUCGGGAGAGGUGAGUGGAACUGCGAGUGUAGAGGUGAAAUUCGUAGAUAUUGCAAGAACACCAGUGGCGAAGGCGGCUCACUGGCCCAUUACUGACGCUGAGGCACGAAAGCGUGGGGAGCAAACAGG
rnacentral:rRNA from 1 species